GCCUGGAUCGCUUAAUCUGGUAGAGCGCUGGUCUCGAAAACCAGUUUCCGCAAGGAUAUGUAGGUUCAAAUCCUGCUCCAGGCG
rnacentral:tRNA from 1 species